rnacentral:rRNA from 1 species
GUGGGGAAUAUUGCGCAAUGGGGGAAACCCUGACGCAGCAAUACCGCGUGAGUGAAGAAGGUUUUCGGAUCGUAAAACUCUUUUAUUGGGGAAGAAGAAGUGACGGUACCCAAUGAAGAAGUCCCGGCUAACUACGUGCCAGCAGCCGCGGUAAUACGUAGGGGACAAGCGUUGUCCGGAAUCACUGGGCGUAAAGGGCGCGUAGGCGGUUUUAUAAGUCAGAUGUGAAAGGUACCGGCUCAACCAGUGACGUGCAUUUGAAACUGUAAGACUUGAGUACUGGAGAGGCAAGUGGAAUUCCUAGUGUAGCGGUGAAAUGCGUAGAUAUUAGGAGGAACACCGGUGGCGAAGGCGGCUUGCUGGACAGAUACUGACGCUGAGGUGCGAAAGCGUGGGGAGCGAACAGGAUUAGAAACCCGUGUAGUCC